rnacentral:rRNA from 1 species
AUUGAACGCUGGCGGCAGGCCUAACACAUGCAAGUCGAGCGGAAACGAGUUAUCUGAACCUUCGGGGAACGAUAACGGCGUCGAGCGGCGGACGGGUGAGUAAUGCCUAGGAAAUUGCCUUGAUGUGGGGGAUAACCAUUGGAAACGAUGGCUAAUACCGCAUAACGCCUACGGGCCAAAGAGGGGGACCUUCGGGCCUCUCGCGUCAAGAUAUGCCUAGGUGGGAUUAGCUAGUUGGUGAGGUAAUGGCUCACCAAGGCGACGAUCCCUAGCUGGUCUGAGAGGAUGAUCAGCCACACUGGAACUGAGACACGGGUCCAGACUCCUACGGGAGGCAGCAGUGGGGAAUAUUGCACAAUGGGCGAAAGCCUGAUGCAGCCAUGCCGCGUGUAUGAAGAAGGCCUUCGGGUUGUAAAGUACUUUCAGUUGUGAGGAAGGGGUGUCGUUAAUAGGAUCUCUUGACG